ensembl:snRNA U6 U6 spliceosomal RNA
AUGCUUGUUUUAGGAUAUAUACUAAAUUAGAAUGACAUAGAAAAUUAGCAUGGCCCUUGUGCAAAGAUGACACAUAAAUUCAUGUUCUCUAUUUUU